rnacentral:rRNA from 1 species
GGAAUCUUGCGCAAUGGGCGAAAGCCUGACGCAGCAACGCCGCGUGCGGGAAGAAGGCUUUCGGGCUGUAAACCGCUUUCAGUAGGAACGAAACUGACGGUACCUACAGAAGAAGGAGCGGCCAACUAUGUGCCAGCAGCCGCGGUGACACAUAGGCUCCAAGCGUUGUCCGGAUUUAUUGGGCGUAAAGAGCUCGUAGGCGGUUGAGUAAGUCGGGUGUGAAAACUUUGGGCUUAACCCAAAGAUGCCACUCGAUACUGCUUUGACUUGAGUUCGGUAGGGGAGUGGGGAAUUCCUAGUGUAGCGGUGAAAUGCGCAGAUAUUAGGAGGAACACCGGUGGCGAAGGCGCCACUCUGGGCCGAAACUGACGCUGAGGAGCGAAAGCAUGGGUAGCAAACAGGAUUAGAUACCCUGGUAGUCCAUGCCGUAAACGGUGGGCACUAGGUGUGGGUCUCAACUAACGAGAUCCGCGCCGUCGCUAACGCAUUAAGUGACCCGCCUGGGGAGUACGGUCGCAAGACUAAAACUCAAAGGAAUUGACGG